rnacentral:lncRNA from 1 species
CGGAUUGUGCGACUCGUAUUAGUUCGCUCGUGCCUACAUUAGACGUGCGAUUGCCUCGACACGCACGCAGCAUCCGUCGAAGCACUAGGAGCUGGAGGUGCAGCUGUCGGUUCUCCUUCUGCACAGGGAAAUUUGGAAAGCGUGGCACGAAUUGCAAGUAAAGCUUCAAACAACGGACCCCAACGGCGCGCCGGCGGCGGCGCCGGGCUAGGUGCCUCGCAUGAAGAGCCUGCAGGUGCACAGUGUACAUUGAUGGUAGCACUUGAUACAUGCGCCAUAACUAUACGAUCUCCUGCCAAGCUCUUGGACUAGUUACUACAGCAUUUUUUGCCGCAAUUGUUGAGCCACGCCGUGAGCGUGUAUGUUGGGCUCCCCACUAACUUGUUAGCCCCUAGCACUCACCUCUAAACGCUCGUUCGACACUGUCAGCUCGUACAUUAACUGUUGCAAGUAUCAGAAACGAAAACAGGUCGUAAGGGGGCGAGAAAGGUUGAGGCGAUAUGAAUUUAUGAUGGACGAUGUCUGUGGCUUAACGGCUUCGCACGGGCAAUGACACCAUGCACUGUAUAUGCAACCCCUGUAAGCGACGCACGCAGUGGUGGAGCCGUGAUUACAUCUGGUAUAUCGCUCAGCCAGUAUAAAGACGACAGUAAUAUAAACGGUGGACGCGGUGACGCCGCGCGUGCUACACCGAAAAUGCCUUACAUAGCCAUGAGGGUCUCGCAUCGCAAAAGACUGUGCACACGUAGGCGUCCCGUGCUAAUCAAUUGCGGGGCUUUACAGGAAAUUCACCAAUGUAGCACGGACUGCUGGUGCACUACCAAGCAAAGGGCUUCUCCCGUGUGACGCUAUGGAACCUCUUGAUUAGAACCCCUCUGUAGUCAUACAGCCUGACCCCAGGGUCCUAAAACCAUAAGCCGCACCUUAUCCCUCACUUCCUGCGCCUGUGCAUGAGCAUGCUGUUGCCCUAAGCGUACUUGCUGCGGUCCCGAUGCGCUGCCUGAACCCCAUGAGGACAAAUCCGCGGUCAUGAUGAAAAGCAGCAACACCUGGACAUAGGUACAUCAAGAGUUAUGCGGCAGUCCCGCGCUCCCAUGGUAUCUCCAGCUAAAACCCAAUGAUGCGUGCCAGUACAUGCACGCAUAUCGCACUAACCCACAUACCAGGCCGAUUAUGAAAGAUGGACUGAUGCCUCUCUCAGGGGCUGGCUGUGCAGCCCACAUAGCGACUUUCCAGAGCGAGCAACGACCUCCUCGGGGUCUAAUGCAGGAGUUCCACUUCCGCUUCGCAUACAGCAAGUGACCUCAAAGCUUCAUGCCAGUAUGCGUUGUCCUGGGUACUUAUCUAAGACCGAUUGGAAAUCAGUUAUCAUGAAAUCCAUAGUUGAGAAGGUUGACCAUUUCAUCAUGCUCCAUGCAGUAAGUGGCAGCAAGUGCUUAUGUACGGCGGGAACUGGUUUGUAAAGAGAACACACUGAGGCACAGCAGUCAUAUAUGCAAAUACAAGGAAAGCGUGCUCUGUGG